AGGCAAUGGAAAGAGGAAACUUCUGCGGAGCCUAUGAAAGUUGACCUCGCAUGUGAAGCAGCAGACGUUUCAAAUAAGGAUGCUGAAAUGAAUAGUCAAGUUGAAAGUAUAAAUGAUCCUAUGGAAACAGAGCAGGAAGCUUAAGUAACAGGAAGGAUGCAGGAGAGGAGAGACCCAAGGAAACCCAACGGGCAGGCGCUGACAUCCUACGGCAUCGUUCUUGGCAGAAAAGAGCACGCAGAGAUGCUCCGCGGGCUGGGAGGGAGGGAGCUUUGGGGAAAUGACUCUUUGCUUUAAUUUCUCUUUGUUCUUCAUUGCAUUUCGUUCUGUAAGCCUGUUGGAAAGAAACAUAACUUCCCAGUUCUAACAAUGUUUUGCAAUUAUCCCUGCAAUUACAGCAGUUUCUUCUGAA